UUAUUUUCAAAAUUGAUGAAUUUCAUUGCACAAGAAUAUAAACAUAUUUUAAGAUUCAUAUAUAUAGUACACUCACAUACAAGCCUUUACAAUCUUAUGUUGAAUAACAUUCUCAAACCAAUUUCUUUGUGCAUAUUUGUGAGGUAAACCCAAUUGUGAUCGAGACGUUGGAUGUUCGUGAAGCUACCUUGGAGUAGAUAAAAAGGACGACAUCAAACUUUACAUCGCUCUGGCUUGAAUUGAGCGAAGCAGUUCAGUCUGGUCUUGUGCUAGGAUUUGCUAAAAGCUCACUUCCUUUUUGGAUGCCCAUCUUUAAGAGUGGUGUCAUGACAUUGGUCGGGAACAAGUUGCUAACAUGCUACUUCUAAAUAUUAAUUUUUAGGUGUGGCUUGAAUUGAUUAAUUAUUAUUCUCAUAUUCUUUGAACUUAUAAUAGUUUUAGAAAAUUUUCAUGUAGGUCAUGAUGCAUUU